rnacentral:rRNA from 1 species
ACGGGAGGCAGCAGUGAGGAAUAUUGGUCAAUGGGCGGAAGUCUGAACCAGCCAAGUCGCGUGAAGGAUGAAGGUAUUAUGUAUUGUAAACUUCUUUAGACGCAGAGAAAUAAGUGCCUCGAGAGGCAUGAUGCUAGUAUGCGUAGAGUAAGGAUCGGCUAACUCCGUGCCAGCAGUCGCGGUAAUACGGAGGAUCCGAGCGUUAUCCGGAUUUAUUGGGUUUAAAGGGUGCGCAGGCGGUCUUUUAAGUCAGUGGUUAAAUAGUGAGGCUUAACCUCAUCCCGCCAUUGAUACUGGGAGACUUGAUUGCGGUCGAGGUUGGCGGAAUUCGCCGUGUAGCGGUGAAAUGCAUAGAUAUGGCGAAGAACUCCGAUUGCGUAGGCAGCUGACCAGGCCGUAAAUGACGCUCAUGCACGAAAGUGCGGGGAUCGAACAGGAUUAGAUACCCUGGUA